GGAUGAAGAACGCAGCGAAAUGCGAUACGUAAUGUGAAUUGCAGAAUUCAGUGAAUCAUCGAAUCUUUGAACGCACCUUGCGCCCCUUGGCAUUCCGAGGGGCACACCCGUUUGAGUGUCGUGAACAUCCUCAACCUCCUUGGUUUUUAUCGAACCAAGUAGGAUUGGAAUUUGGAGGUUUUCUGCUGGCCUCCUCUGAAGCCAGCUCCUCUUAAAUGUAUCAGUGGGAUCCGCUUUGCUUAGAUCCUCGACGUUGAUAAGAUGUUUCUACGUCUUGGGUUUUUCUCGCAAAGGACCUGCUUCUAACCGUCCCCAUCGGGGACAACCUUUGAGCCGAUCACCCUUCACGGGGUGGGAAGCUUUUUGACCCACGAAACCUUGACCUCAAAUCGGGUGAGACUACCCGCUGAACUUAAGCAUAUCAAUAAGCGGAGGA
rnacentral:misc_RNA from 1 species